UUUAUUUAGUUUUGUUUCAUGGUUUUGCAGGGCAGUCGGGACAGCACGUUUGUGUGGGGAAUGGCUGAGCCAGCAGAGAGGGGGAAGUGGAUGAUGCAGGUGCCCAAAUGGAGGACCAGCCUGAGACCGGAGGGGCACCUGCCCAUCACUUAGAAGGGAAUAUUUUCCAUCAUAUAUACACACCAUAACCAGUUUAUACAUGUUCCAUUACACUUUAAAAAGGAACGAACUGGUAGGAAAGUCAGCAGCUCAGUCCACAUAGUGGGAAGGGCUGGGCCUCUAUCUGUGCAAGAAUACAAAACAGCACAGUCACUGUGGAUGUCAGUCAGCACUUUCUUAUAAAGCCAAACACAGACUAAACAUGCAAGCUGUGACCCCUCCCUGAGGUGUUCACCCCACUCACUAGAGAACUCCUGUUCGCAUAACAACCUGCAGGCGCAUUGUCAUAGUGGGACAGCCCUUAACUGUGGGCUGCACAUGGUGACUUCCUUCCAAAGACUACUUUACAGAAAGGGAUAAAGCAUAAAAAGGAACUUCACAUGGAGUAUCUGGGCAAAACAACCUGAAUCCAGUGGGGAAGGUUAAUUCAUCAGUGAUGAUCAAGGGAUCGCUGCAUGCUCUUGAUAUGUUGUGUUGAGAAUGGCCUGUCCAGUUGUGAUUUUCCCAAACUGCAUAGCCUCAGUCAGCCUAAUUCACAAUGAGAGAGAGUCUACAAUAUACCUUAAAGUUUCACAUAAAAAAAAAAAAAGAAAGAAGAAGAAAAGGACAAAGAAAAAGGAAGGACUGAGAAAUGGUCACAGGCAGAGAAGCCUGAAGGAAACAUGAUUGGGACUUAAUGUAGUAUCUUGGAUGGGAUCUUGGAAGAGAAAACAAAACCAAUAAAAGCAAAUCCCGCGUGGCGUUCA